GUCAAUAUGUCCGAGUGGUUAAGGAGAUAGACUUGAAAUCUAUUGGGCUUUACCUGCGCAGGUUCAAAUCCUACUGUUGACG
rfam:Ipomoea nil DNA, scaffold: scaffold1250, cultivar: Tokyo-kokei standard.